AGCAUCCAUCGUUUAGGGCUAGGACUACCAGGGUAUCUAAUCCUGUUUGCUCCCCUAGCUUUCGCGCCUCAGCGUCAGUUGUGGUCCAGUAUGCCGCUUUCGCCACAGGUGUUCCUCCCGAUAUCUACGCAUUUCACCGCUACACCGGGAAUUCCACAUACCUCUCCCACACUCAAGCACGGCAGUUUCGCCUGCAGACUCUGAGUUGAGCCCAGAGAUUUCACAGGUGACUUACCGCACCGCCUACGCGCCCUUUACGCCCAAUAAUUCCGAACAACGCUUGCCCCCUCUGUAUUACCGCGGCUGCUGGCACAGAGUUAGCCGGGGCUUCUUCUUCCGGUACCGUCAUUAUCUUCCCGAUCGAAAGGAGUUUACAUCCCAAAGGACUUCAUCCUCCACGCGGCAUUGCUGCGUCAGGGUUUCCCCCAUUGCGCAAAAUUCCCCACUGCUGCCUCCCGUAGGAGUCUGGACCGUGUUUCAGUUCCAGUGUGGCCGUGCGCCCUCUCAGGCCGGCUAUUGAUCAUUGCCUUGGUAGGCCAUUACCCUACCAACUAGCUAAUCAACCGCGACCCCCUCUCCAAGCUGCUUACGCAUUUGACUUUGCAGUGUUAUGCGGUGUUAGCCCCGGUUUCCCGGGGUUAUUCCCCACUAAGAGGUAGAUUACCCACGUGUUACUCACCCGUACGCCACUGUACUCAUGGUUGCCCACUUUCCCGUUCGACUUGCAUGUGUUAGGCGCGCCGCCAGCGUUGAUUCUGAGCCAGGAUCAAACUC
rnacentral:rRNA from 1 species